AAGACGGAAAGACCCCGUGAACCUUUACUAUAGCUUGACACUGAACAUUGAGCCUUGAUGUGUAGGAUAGGUGGGAGGCUUUGAAGCGUGGACGCCAGUCUGCGUGGAGCCGACCUUGAAAUACCACCCUUUAAUGUUUGAUGUUCUAACGUGGACCCGUGAUCCGGGUUGCGGACAGUGUCUGGUGGGUAGUUUGACUGGGGCGGUCUCCUCCUAAAGAGUAACGGAGGAGCACGAAGGUUGGCUAAUCCUGGUCGGACAUCAGGAGGUUAGUGCAAUGGCAUAAGCCAGCUUGACUGCGAGCGUGACGGCGCGAGCAGGUGCGAAAGCAGGUCAUAGUGAUCCGGUGGUUCUGAAUGGAAGGGCCAUCGCUCAACGGAUAAAAGGUACUCCGGGGAUAACAGGCUGAUACCGCCCAAGAGUUCAUAUCGACGGCGGUGUUUGGCACCUCGAUGUCGGCUCAUCACAUCCUGGGGCUGAAGUAGGUCCCAAGGGUAUGGCUGUUCGCCAUUUAAAGUGGUACGCGAGCUGGGUUUAGAACGUCGUGAGACAGUUCGGUCCCUAUCUGCCGUGGGCGCUGGAGAACUGAGGGGGGCUGCUCCUAGUACGAGAGGACCGGAGUGGACGCAUCACUGGUGUUCGGGUUGUCAUGCCAAUGGCACUGCCCGGUAGCUAAAUGCGGAAGAGAUAAGUGCUGAAAGCAUCUAAGCACGAAACUUGCCCCGAG
rnacentral:rRNA from 1 species